UGUACAAGUAGUUCAGGAUCUGGUCACAAAUAUGCACUAAGCUGCUGGUCCUUCUGGGGUGAAAUUCACCUUGGACAGAGACAAGAAUUGCACCUUGUUAGCUCAAAAAAAAGAUUAUAUAACAGCUCUCAAGAGGAAGCUGCUAACAAGCCCAUCUGAUAUUCUGUGCCAGCUUUUUUAGUGGAGGCGUGCUGCAUGAGACUGAGCUCCACCCUGUUUGUCGAGCAAAGCGUUUGGAAAAUGACACAGCCUGAAGAAAAACGGGAAUUCAAAAUCUGGCUCCAGAUUUCCUUGUGAACCAGUCUGCUCCUCCGCAUCUCUAGAAAGGGACAGUUCUCCUGUGCUGUAAAUGAUACCUGAGGCUUGACAUCUAUGCAGUCUCCAAAGACAGAAUCUAAAAAGUAAAACCUACAAGCUCAGGUAAGCUCAGGUGAACUCAGCUGCUAAUAUGCAGAAAUAAGCUGGUUUUACCAUAAUUUUAU
rnacentral:lncRNA from 1 species